GGAGUGGUGCGGUGAAGAAAAGGCGGUGGAUAUCAGUUAUCCUCGCCCUUCACCUGGUCACAGGACCAGCCUCACAGCAGUUACCAGCCUGUUCUUGGACAGUUCCUAGCCGGGCUGGUUAGUCCGGCUGCAGGCGUUUGCCCGCGGAAACUUUAAAGAGUCAAGGAGGACAAGCCUCGAUUUCCGCCUCUCGCCAUUUUCUUUACCCUUUUUCUUCACCCCCUCCUUCUACACCCACCCCGACCGACACUCUACCACCCCGGCCCCGGCCAUAUCGCCAGCACUACACAGUAGGAAGGCGGUGCGUUACCCCGCGUCCAAAAUGUUUGUCAUAGUUUGUGAUUAAAGGAACAUUGGAAAAAGAAGGCUCAGAUGGCCAAUCAAGUAAACUUGACCAAUCGGCUGCUGAGGCUGAGAGCAGGACUGCUGUUUUCUUUGAGUCGGAAAGGUCUCCAUUAGAUCCAGUGCCACAAGUGGCCGAACACGUGGAACAGAUGCGGCCUGCAGUGGCGCAGAGCAGCAACGGAGGACACCACCACAUCGCCUAGCCAGAACGACUUCCAAGCAACGACAACCCCUGCAACUCUGACCCAGAGCCACGCCAGGACAGUGGGACUCGAUGGCCAAGUUAAGACUGACAUUU